UUUUUUUUUUUUUUUUUUUUCUUUAUUCCAAAGGUUGUGGUCUACCCGAAAUUAUGCCUGUGAGUAAGAGAGUUGCUGUCUAAAUGGUCAGGGAAAGAAUGGAACUAACACUUGAGAGUUUGAAAAGAACCCUCGAGUUUGGCAAGGAUACUAUCUUUAUAGAUAAGAAAAGGGGUUCAGAGAAUUUUUUUUUAACAUUGCAAGCUUACAAACCUGGUAUGCCAGUUAUCAGUUUGUAAUGUCUCAGCGUCAAAUCCAGUCUUCACUGCCAGGUAUUCAGCAACAGAGAUAGAGCCUAUGUAUUAUGUUGCUAGGGUUGCCAUAACAAAAGACCACAGACUGGGUGGUGUAAAUAACAGAAGUUUAUUUUCUCAUGAUUCUGAUGGCUGGAAGUCUGAGCUCAAGAUAUUGCAGGGAGAGAGAUGGGAUCAAUAUGGCAGAGGAGUAAGACAUGGAGCUUAUCUUCUCCCACACACACAUUAAAAAAAAAAAUCUACAUGUAGAGUGAUUCACACAGAACAUCUACCGAAUGCUGGCAGAAAAACUUAACCCUCCAAAAAGGACAAAAAAUCCCUCCACAUAUAACUGGGAGAACAAAAGGAAAAAAAGAGAGAGAGAGAGAAAGAUAAAGAUAUAAAAAGAAUUGGGAUGGGACACAGCACUCCUGAGAGGGAGCUAUGAAAGAGGAACAGGACCCACACCCUGGGAAGCUACCUAACAGGGAGCUCAGCUGAGACCAAACAACCUCAAAGCCUCAGAGAAAAAUGCAGCACCUAGCUUGAGGAGGACAAAGCAGACAGAGAGCCAUGAAGACUAUUGGUACCACUGCCCCCAGACACCACAGCCUGAGAUGCUCAGACAGGGGUUGGGCACUGAGACUUGGGCUCCAGAGGUCAGUUCUGGGGAGAGGGCUAGGGUUGGUUGUGUGCAGACAGCCUGAAGGAGAUAGGGAGCAGUGAACUAAGGGCUGGAGAGCAGAGUACCACAGCCAAGGGAACUGGGAAGCAGGUCUGGGCCCAUAGGAAAAGAAAGGUGCCAUUGUUGGGGAGGACAAGAGGAGGAGAAUCAUAUUGCCAUAGGAAUAUCUUUCUCUGUGCACAUGCAGACUCUUGGAGAGUGGGGCUAUGGGCAGCAAGGGACUUCUUAUAUGCGCUAAGUGUGACAAGAAGCUCCUUGCAUGGUCUAUAGGUGGUGGGAGCAAACCACCAGAAUUAUCCCUGACUCCAGAGUUAGGCAUGGCCUGCCACCACUAGGGGUCUGUGAACAGGCACCACCUAAGGCCCCAGUCACUUCAGAGGAUGGCACACACAGAGGAAGGCACUGCAACUAAGUACCACCCAUUGUUAUUCUCUAUCCCCUGGGAACACACACACCCUGCCAUUGUCACUACCAAAUGUUCCAGGUACCACCUAAACCUAUCUGAAGCUCACAGCCACUUCCCAGGGCCCAGCAACUAGGAGCAGCCUGCACCACCUUUCCACAAGUCCUUGCUACUCUCAAGAGCCCAGCAACCAGGCACUGGCUACCAUCCCUACCCAUUGUCUCCAUCUCCCUGGAAGCAUGUGCAGCACUCUAUCAAGGGGAUAACAGCCUGCACACACUGAAGAAAGAGACAGGAAGCAUCCAAACCCUCACACCAAAAAUAAAUAGUAAGGCCUCACAAAAUACCCAGGGGUACUCUCGCAUAUAACUAGCCCUCCAAGACCAUAGCAGUUUGUUUCCCCAAACUCACAGAAUAAGAGAAAUAUAAGCAAAAUGAAGAAGCUCAGGAGCCAUUCCUGGUUGAAAGAACAGAAAAAUUCACCUGACAGAACAAACAAUGAAACAGAACUCCGCAGUCUAAUAGACACUGAGUUUGAAAAGGAGAUAGUGAAAAUACUGAAGGAAUUAGGGUAAAUAUGAAGGAAUUAAGAGCAAAUGUGAACAGUAAUGCAGAUUACUUUAGGAAAGAACUGGAAAAUAUAAUGAGGAGCCAAAAAAAAUUAGGAAAUUCAUUUGAAGAGAAGCAAACUGAGUUAAAGGCACUGAAGAACAGAAUGAAUAAUGCAGAGGAAUGAAUUAGUGACUUGGAAGACAGAAACAUGGAAAUCAUACAAUCAGGACAGCAGACAGAAAACCAAAUGAAAACACAUAAAAGCAAUAUAAGAGAUUUUUGGGAUAAUAUAAAGUAGGCCAAGCAUAAUAGGGAUUCCAGAAGAAGAAAAAGAAAAGAGGAUUGAAAAUAUAUUUGAAGAAAUUAUAGCUGAAAACUUUACAAAUCUAAAGGAAACAGCUAUCAAGAUAAAGGAGGCACAGAGGUCACCAAACAAGUUGAAUCCAAACAGGCCCACAUCAAGAUAUAUUAUACUAAAAAUGGCAAAAGUUAAAGGGAGGAUUCUAAAGGCAGCAAGAGAAAAACAAAGAGUUAAUUAUAAGGGAAUCACCAUAAGGCUAUCAGCUGAUUUCUGAACAGAAACAUUACAGGCCAGAAGAGUGUGGCAAGAUAUAUUCAAAGUUUUAAAAGGGAAAAUUCUGCAGCCUAGAACACUUUAUCCAUCAAGGAUAUCAUUUAAAAUAGAAGGAGAGGAGUUCCCGUCGUGGCGCAGUGGUUAACGAAUCCGACUAGGAACCAUGAGGUUGCGGGCUCGAUCCCUGCCCUUGCUCAGUGGGUUAACGAUCCGGCGUUGCCGUGAGCUGUGGUGUAGGUUGAAGAUGCAGCUUGGAUACGGUGUUGCUGUGGCUUUGGUGUAGGCUGGCAGCUGCAGCUCCGAUUUGACCCCUGGCCUGGGAGCUUCCAUAUACCAUGAGUGCAUUCCUAAAAAGCAAAAUAAAAAACAAACAAAAAAUUAAAAGAAAAAAAAACUAUUGUAAAAGUGACAAUAAACACAAGGAACCACAAAAGGAUAAAUAUGAAGACAUUUAAAAAGGACAUCAAAAUCAUAAAAUGUGGGGAUGGAAAGUAAGAAAAUCUAGGCUCUUUUUUCUAGGAUGCACUUGAACCUAUAAGACUAUGAGGCUAAAGCAAGCAGAUAUAGAAAGCAGGUAACAAAAAAUUAAAAAAAAAAAAACGAAAACAAACAAACAAAAAAAAAGCAGUUAACAUUUGAAAAACAGGACAACCACAAAUCAAAACAAAUAAUACAUUCAUAAAAACUGCAAAGAAGAGGACACAAGCAUAGAGGAAAACAUCCAACCAAAAAAAGAAAGGAGAAAGAAGGAGAAGCAUGGAAUCAGCUGAAAAACAAGGUUUAAAAUGGCAAUAAAUGCAUAUUUAUCAAUAAUUAGCUUAAAUGUCAAUGGACUGAUGCUCCAAUCAAAAGACAAAGAGUGGCGUACUCAAUAAAAAAACAAGCGUCUAUAAAAUGUUGCCUGCAAGAGACUCACCUUAGGACAAAGGAUACAUAUAAAUUGAAAGUGAGGGGAUGGAAAAAGCUAUUUCAUGAGAAUGGGAAAACAGGAAAUCGGGAGUUGCAAUACUCAUAUCAGACAAAAUAGGCUUUAAACCGAAGCCCUUAAAGAAAGACAGAGAGAUGCUGGCAGGAUUAGUUUCAUUCUGAAGACUUUUAUACUUGGCUUAUAUUUGGUUGUUUCCUGCUUUUGCCUUCCCAUGGUCUUCUCCCUGUACAUUUCUUUAUCUUAUUUCCUCUUAUAAAGGCACCAGAAAUAUCAGAUUAGGGCCCAGCCUACUGACCUCAUUUAAUCUUAAUUACACCUUUAAAAAUGCUGUUUUUGAAUAUAGUCAUUUAUAAGGUACUAGGGGUUAACGACGUCAACAUAUGAAUUGGGGGGAGGGGGGUAAAAUUCUACCCAAAAGACCCUGUAAAUAUUUCUCCUUUGCAGCCUGUGUGGUGUUAAGCUUUGUCAACAGAAGGUGCUGAAGGCACUCAGUGGAGGAAGAGGUUUUUCUCCCUGGUUCUGCGUGCUUCUCUACAUAGUCUCUUGCAGCAUGGCUGGUUUCCACAGCACAUAGUUCCAGCAGCAUCCACCAAGCAGCAGCACAAGGCAGCUCCCCACAGACAGAUCCUUCCAGCCUCCUCUUUGGAGUCUUUUUAGUGAUGAGUUACCAGCAUGACACCUACCAUGAACAGGCUCUCCAGGCACUCAAAACCUGCCAGUAUGACACCUCCCUGUGGGUGGCUUCCUCUGAAUGCACCCAGGACCUUCUUGAAUGACCUAGCAGCCUCAGCAAACACCUCUGCCAUUGAGUGAGCCCUCUCUGAUGAAAUCUGAACCUCAGUCCUGGGGUAGAAGGAGUUUUCCCAGAUUUUUUCAUUCCUUGGGUAUUAUUCUUUCUUAUUCCUAGGCGUAGUGGCUGUCUCCUUUACCUGCAAGCCCUUUAUUCCCUAUAAUAUUUUACUCCUCACCAGUCAAUGCCCUGAUACCCCAAUUCCCUGUUAAUAAUUCUGUGUAAUAGUUAUUUUUUUCUUCAAAUUACUUUGAAGUAUCUGUCUCCUAAUUAUAGCUGAACUGAUAGGACUGAGAAGUGGAAUAAUCCUAUAAUAAAGAAAAAUGCAUAGGUGCUCCUAAGGUGAGAAAAGAAACUGUAAAAACUAUCAUUCUUUGCAGAGGAUAAUAUCAUAUGUCCAGAACACCCAAUGGAAUCACCAGAAAAGCUACUGGAACUAACAAGAGUAUUCAAUAGGCUAGCUAUCUCAUACAAAUCAAUAGACUUCUUUAUGCCUGUUAACGAACAUAGAAAAUGUAAAAGAGAAAGUUAGCAACCUACUUUUACAGCAAGAAACAAUUUUAAAGAAUCUAAGAAGUGUUUAUGAAAACAGAGAAUGCAUAAGGUCAUUAAAAAUUUAAGUGAUAUAAAUUAAAUUUAAAAUAGAUUAUUGUUUACAUGACAUCAAUGAAUAAAGAGAUAAAU
rnacentral:lncRNA from 1 species